rnacentral:rRNA from 1 species
AACGAACGCUGGCGGCGCGCCUAAUACAUGCAAGUCGAGCGAGAAGACGUAGCAAUACGUUUGUAAAGCGGCGAACGGGUGAGAAUACAUGGGUAACCUACCCUCGAGUGGGGAAUAACUAGCCGAAAGGUUAGCUAAUACCGCGUACGCUCCUUGGACUUUCGGUUCAGGGAGGAAAGCGAUACCGUGGGUAUCGCGCUCUUGGAUGGGCUCAUGUCCUAUCAGCUUGUUGGUGAGGUAACGGCUCACCAAGGCUUCGACGGGGUAGCUGGUCUGAGAGGACGAUCAGCCACACUGGCACUGCGACACGGGCCAGACUCCUACGGGAGGCAGCAAGUAAGGAAUAUUGCGCAAUGGGCGAAAGCCUGACGCAGCGACGCCGCGUGGGGGAUG